CCUACGGGAGGCAGCAGUGAGGAAUAUUGGUCAAUGGACGAGAGUCUGAACCAGCCAAGUAGCGUGAAGGAUGACUGCCCUAUGGGUUGUAAACUUCUUUUAUAUGGGAAUAAAAUGUUCCACGUGUGGGAUUUUGUAUGUACCAUAUGAAUAAGGAUCGGCUAACUCCGUGCCAGCAGCCGCGGUAAUACGGAGGAUCCGAGCGUUAUCCGGAUUUAUUGGGUUUAAAGGGAGCGUAGGUGGAUUGUUAAGUCAGUUGUGAAAGUUUGCGGCUCAACCGUAAAAUUGCAGUUGAAACUGGCAGUCUUGAGUACAGUAGAGGUGGGCGGAAUUCGGUGUGUAGCGGUGAAAUGCUUAGAUAUCACGAAGAACUCCGAUUGCGAAGGCAGUUCACUGGACUGCAACUGACACUGAGGCUCGAAAGUGUGGGUAUCAAACAGGAUUAGAUACCCUUGUAGUC
rnacentral:rRNA from 1 species